AGAGUUUGAUCCUGGCUCAGAGUGAACGCUGGCAGCGUGCUUAACACAUGCAAGUCGAACGAGUAAGUGCUGUAGUAAUACAGAUUACUGCUAGUGGCAGACGGGUGAGUAAUACAUGGGAAUCUACCUCGAAGUCUGGGAUAACCACUGGAAACGGUGGCUAAUACCGGAUAUUGCCGAGAGGUGAAAGUUUUUCGCUU
rnacentral:rRNA from 1 species